UACGUAGGGUGCGAGCGUUAAUCGGAAUUACUGGGCGUAAAGGGUGCGCAGGCGGAUAUGUAAGUUAGAUGUGAAAUCCCCGAGCUUAACUUGGGAAUGGCAUUUAAGACUGCAUAUCUAGAGUUUGUCAGAGGGGGGUAGAAUUCCAAGUGUAGCAGUGAAAUGCGUAGAGAUUUGGAGGAAUACCGGUGGCGAAGGCGACCCCCUGGGAUAAAACUGACGCUCAUGCACGAAAGCGUGGGUAGCAAACAGG
rnacentral:rRNA from 1 species